UACAGAGGUCUCAAGCGUUGUUCGGAUUCAUUGGGCGUAAAGGGCGCGUAGGCGGCGGGGUAAGUCGGGUGUGAAAUCUCAGAGCUCAACUCUGAAAUGGCACUUGAUACUGCUCUGCUAGAGGACUGGAGAGGAGAUUGGAAUUCACGGUGUAGCAGUGAAAUGCGUAGAUGUCGUGAGGAAGACCGGUGGCGAAGGCGGAUCUCUGGACAGUUCCUGACGCUGAGGCGCGAAGGCCAGGGGAGCAAACGGG
rnacentral:rRNA from 1 species